AAAAUAGCUCAUCACAACAAAGCUAUUCGCCAGAGUACUACUAGCAACAGCCUAAAACUCAAAGGACUUGGCGGUGCUUUAUAUCCCUCUAGAGGAGCCUGUUCCAUAAUCGAUACACCCCGAUAAACCCCACCAUCCCUUGCUAAUUCAGCCUAUAUACCGCCAUCUUCAGCAAACCCUAAACAAGGUACCGAAGUAAGCACAAAUAUCCAACAUAAAAACGUUAGGUCAAGGUGUAGCCCAUGGGAUGGAGAGAAAUGGGCUACAUUUUCUACUCUAAGAACAAAAACAUAACCCAGACGGAAGUCUCUAUGAAAUUGGAGACCGAAGGAGGAUUUAGUAGUAAAUUAAGAACAGAGAGCUUAAUUGAAUAAGGCCAUGAAGC
rnacentral:rRNA from 1 species